CAAACUGAAGAUGGCGACCGGCGCACGGGUGAGUAACACGUAUCCAACCUGCCGAUAACCCCCGGAAUAGCCUUUCGAAAGAAAGAUUAAUACCGGAUGGCAUACGAAUAUCGCAUGAUAUUUUUAUUUAAAGAAUUUCGGUUAUCGAUAGGGAUGCGUUCCAUUAGUUUGUUGGCGGGGUAACGGCCCACCAAGACUACGAUGGAUAGGGGUUCUGAGAGGAAGGUCCCCCACAUUGGAACUGAGACACGGUCCAA
rnacentral:rRNA from 1 species